GGGGAAUAUUGGACAAUGGGCGCAAGCCUGAUCCAGCCAUGCCGCGUGUGUGAAGAAGGUCUUCGGAUUGUAAAGCACUUUAAGUUGGGAGGAAGGGCAGUAAGUUAAUACCUUGCUGUUUUGACGUUACCAACAGAAUAAGCACCGGCUAACUUCGUGCCAGCAGCCGCGGUAAUACGAAGGGUGCAAGCGUUAAUCGGAAUUAGUGGGCGUAAAGCGCGCGUAGGUGGUUUGGUAAGAUGGAUGUGAAAUCCCCGGGCUCAACCUGGGAACUGCAUCCAUAAGUGCCUGACUAGGGUACGGUAGGAGGGGGUGGAAUUUCCUGUGUUGCGGUGAAAUGCGUAGAUAUAGGAAGGAACACCAGUGGCGAAGGCGACCACCUGGUCUGAUACUGACACUGAGGUGCGAAAGCGUGGGGAGCAAACA
rnacentral:rRNA from 1 species